rnacentral:rRNA from 1 species
AACGAACGCUGGCGGCAGGCUUAACACAUGCAAGUCGAGCGCCCCGCAAGGGGAGCGGCAGACGGGUGAGUAACGCGUGGGAAUCUACCCAUCUCUACGGAACAACUCCGGGAAACUGGAGCUAAUACCGUAUACGUCCUUCGGGAGAAAGAUUUAUCGGAGAUGGAUGAGCCCGCGUUGGAUUAGCUAGUUGGUGGGGUAAUGGCCUACCAAGGCGACGAUCCAUAGCUGGUCUGAGAGGAUGAUCAGCCACACUGGGACUGAGACACGGCCCAGACUCCUACGGGAGGCAGCAGUGGGGAAUAUUGGACAAUGGGCGCAAGCCUGAUCCAGCCAUGCCGCGUGAGUGAUGAAGGCCCUAGGGUUGUAAAGCUCUUUCAACGGUGAAGAUAAUGACGGUAACCGUAGAAGAAGCCCCGGCUAACUUCGUGCCAGCCGCCGCCGUAAUAC